rnacentral:sRNA from 1 species
UUGAGAGCCCUGGAAAUUGAAUGUUUCUAGAUAGCCACAGAACAGGUACAGCAUGGGCAGUGGUAGCACAAACGUUGACCAUUCCCCAAUAACCAGGAAGAGGCCCUUCUUUGCAGGAUAAGAGAUUGUUUCAGUCUCCGUGGCCCACUCAGUCCCUUGCCUGU